UUUCCGUAGGUGAACCUGCGGAAGGAUCAUUAUUGGAUUUUGAAACUUCAGGCUGCUGCUGGCUCUCCUCGGAGGGCAUGUGCACGCUUGUUGUCCAUUAUUUCUCCCACUGUGCACAAAUUGUAGACCUUUCAGUAGGCCUAUGUUGUUUUUCACAAUCUCUGAAUGUAAUAGAAUGGUUUUGAAUCUUGGGAAAUACAAUACAACUUUCAACAACGGAUCUCUUGGCUCUCGCAUCGAUGAAGACGCAGC
rnacentral:misc_RNA from 1 species